ensembl:snRNA U6 U6 spliceosomal RNA
GGGCUCGCUUAGGCAGCACAUACACUACAAUUGAAAUGAUAUAGAGAAGAUUAGCAGUCCUUGCACAAGGAUGACAAAGUCAUGAAACAUUCUAUAUAUUU